rnacentral:rRNA from 1 species
UACGUAGGCAGCAAGCGUUGUUCGGAGUUACUGGGCGUAAAGGGUGCGUAGGCGGUUGUUUAAGUUUGGUGUGAAAUCUCCCGGCUCAACUGGGAGGGUGCGCCGAAUACUGAAUGACUAGAGUGCGGGAGAGGAGAGUGGAAUUCCUGGUGUAGCGGUGAAAUGCGUAGAUAUCAGGAGGAACACCGAUUGCGAAGGCAGCUCGCUGGGACGUUACUGACGCUGAGACGCGAAAGCGUGGGGAGCAAACAGG